rnacentral:lncRNA from 1 species
GGGUUCCUCUCCAUCCUAAAAUGUUAGGCUUCUAAUAAUUGUAAUUAAACCUGUUUGUAGAUGUUGGUGGAUAGACAAUCAAAAUCUUAAAACUUAAAUCUGGCCACUUUCCUUCUUUGAACCAUAUGGCACAACAUGCAAAGUUCAAGUGUUAGACAUUGCCCUCUUAAUAUUUCUAUCAACCUGCUGGUUCCUUUCAUUAUAGUGUUUAGGUAACUAGCAGUCAAGAGGGAAAGACAGUAUUAUGGAAGAUUGAUUUCAGUGUUGCUAAUGACUAAAGACCUUGGGUUGAGCAUUUCAUGAAACCCAGUUGAAUAUGGACCUAGUAACACGUAGGAACAAGGAGAGAAAAGAAAAAGAGAUAAUGUGAAAUCUAUGCAGAAUUUUAAUGCUUUGCAUAACCAGUUUUAAUUACCGUAAAAUUUUCUCUUCGUGCCCCUCUCUCUUGACUGCAGCAUUUUCUCUCUGAGCUUGUGUGUUAGUUGAUGGGAGUUGCUAGAUUUACCGUUCUGUAAAAUAUUAGGUGGAAAGUUCUGUGGAUCAAGUGAUCAUUCUCUGAGAUGGUAUA